UACGUAGGGUGCAAGCGUUGUCCGGAAUUAUUGGGCGUAAAGAGCGCGUAGGCGGUCCGAUAAGUCGGCUGUGAAAGUCAGGGGCUCAACCCUUGGAAGCCGGCCGAUACUGUCGGACUAGAGUCCGGAAGAGGCGAGUGGAAUUCCCGGUGUAGCGGUGAAAUGCGCAGAUAUCGGGAGGAACACCAGUGGCGAAGGCGGCACUCUGGGCCGGUACUGACGCUGAGGAGCGAAAGCGUGGGGAGCGAACAGG
rnacentral:rRNA from 1 species